rnacentral:rRNA from 1 species
UCUUUUUUUUGUGUGCCAGCCGCCGCGGUAAUACGGAAGGUCCGGGCGUUAUCCGGAUUUAUUGGGUUUAAAGGGAGCGUAGGCCGGAGAUUAAGCGUGUUGUGAAAUGUAGAUGCUCAACAUCUGCACUGCAGCGCGAACUGGUUUCCUUGAGUACGCACAAAGUGGGCGGAAUUCGUGGUGUAGCGGUGAAAUGCUUAGAUAUCACGAAGAACUCCGAUUGCGAAGGCAGCUCACUGGAGCGCAACUGACGCUGAAGCUCGAAAGUGCGGGUAUCGAACAGG